rnacentral:rRNA from 1 species
GAUGAACGCUAGCGGCAGGCUUAACACAUGCAAGUCGAACGGUAACAUAGUGCUUGCACUGAUGACGAGUGGCGAACGGGUGCGUAACGCGUAUACAACCUACCUCCUAUUAAGGAAUAGCUCGAUGAAAAUUGAAUUAAUACCUUAUAAUAUCUUAAAAUCGCAUGGUUUAAAGAUUAAAGAAUUUCGAUAAGAGAUGGGUAUGCGUGAUAUUAGCUAGUUGGUAAGGUAACGGCUUACCAAGGCAACGAUAUCUAGGGGGUCUGAGAGGAUGAUCCCCCACACUGGUACUGAGACACGGACCAG